UUGUUUGUUCCGUUUCCAAGCACGCCCUUUGCUCCUUUUCAGUAUUUCUACUUGCAUUUUCUCGAAAAUGCGACUCCAGUUACACUAUUAUAUAGCUAUUACAUGGUUUCAUCUAUUGAUUAUACACUAGGUCACAAUAAUUACUUAUGAGCACGCUUUUCUCUAUUCUAAAAUCUUUUUUUUUUGAGAAAUAUGUACCUAUGUUCUAAUAUCAUUCUUCGUUAAUUAUCGCUACUCUCUAUAAUUAUAUACUUUUUGGUUCAACGGACACUCAUUAAGAAGGAUGAUUAGAGCCAUAUUUAUACGUGCCAUAUUUUUUUGUUGAUAUUCAUAUGUCAUGUGUUAUAUAUGUAUAUCUAU
rnacentral:lncRNA from 1 species